AAUGAACGCUGGCGGCAUGCCUAACACAUGCAAGUCGAGCGAACAAAUGGGGAGUUUUCUCGUCUGACGUUGUCGGCGGACGGGUGAUGCACACGUGUUUGGCCUACCUCUAAGACUGGGGUCACGAUACGGGACCUUAUCUAAUACCCGAUAAUAUAUUGAAACUGGUGGAUCAAUAGUGCAAUCAGUUUUUUAUGAGACUAAUAGACUUAUCCGGGUCGCAUUAGUUAGUUGGUAAGGUAGCGGCUUACCAAGGCUAGGAUGCGUAGCCGACCUGAGAGGGUGAUCAGACACACUGGAACUGAGACACGGUCCAGACUCCUACGGGAGGCAGCAGUAGGGAAUCUUCCGCAAUGGGCGAAAGCCUGAUGGAGCAAAGCCGCGUGAGUGAUGAAGGUCUUCGGAUUGUAAAGCUCUGUAAGUUGGGAGGAAGAAAAGUGUAUUUAACCAUGACCGUAUUGACGGUACCUAAAGAAUAAGCCCCGGCUAACUACGUG
rnacentral:rRNA from 1 species